GAGAAGACACAAGAGGGGUUCCAAGUGGCUUAACUAGUAACAUGAUCAUUAUUUGACACCCUUUCCUUGAUGGGGAGGCCCCAAGGCAUUUUGAUAAAUAGUUUUCUUAGCUGUGUUCUUUCAGGCUAUCAUGGCAGAAGGAAAACAGCAUGCUCUAUGUGUUGGAGUCAUGAAGAUGUCUGCAGAAGACAUUGAGAAAGUCAACAAAGGAAUUGGCAUUGAAAAUAUCCAUUAUUUAAAUGAUGGGCUGUGGCAUAUGAAGACAUAUAAAUGAGCCUCAGAAGGAAUGCACUUGGGCUAAAUAUGGAUAUUGUGCUGUAUCUGUGUUUGUGUCUGUGUGUGACAGCAUGAAGAUAAUGCCUGUGGUUAUGCUGAAUAAAUUCACCAGAUGCUAAAAU
rnacentral:sRNA from 1 species